rnacentral:rRNA from 1 species
AUAUGGAGGGUGCAAGCGUUACUCGGAAUCACUGGGCGUAAAGGGCGCGCAGGCGGUUUGGUAAGUCAGAUGUGAAAGCCCACGGCUCAACCGGGGAAGUGCAUUUGAAACUGUCAGACUUGAGUACUAGAGGGGAAAGUGGAAUUCCCGGUGUAGAGGUGAAAUUCGUAGAUAUCGGGAGGAAUACCGGUGGCGAAGGCGACUUUCUGGCUAGAUACUGACGCUGAGGCGCGAAAGCGUGGGGAGCAAACAGGAUUAGAAACCCUAGUAGUCC